rnacentral:rRNA from 1 species
GAAUAUUGGACAAUGGGGGGAACCCUGAUCCAGCCAUGCCGCGUGUGUGAAGAAGGCCUUUUGGUUGUAAAGCACUUUAAGCGCGGAGGAGGCUACUCUAGUUAAUACCUAGAGAUAGUGGACGUUACUCGCACAAGAAGCACCGGCUAACUCUGUGCCAGCAGCCGCGGUAAUACAGAGGGUGCAAGCGUUCAUCGGAUUUGCUGGGCGUAAAGCGCGCGUAGGUGGCCAAUUAAGUCAAAUGUGAAAUCCCCGAGCUUAACUUGGGAAUGGCAUUCGAUACUGGUUGGCUAGAGUAUGGGAGAGGAUGGUAGAAUUCCAGGUGUAGCGGUGAAAUGCGUAGAGAUCUGGAGGAAUACCGAUGGCGAAGGCAGCCAUCUGGCCUAAUACUGACACUGAGGUGCGAAAGCAUGGGGAGCAAACAG